rnacentral:rRNA from 1 species
UACGUAGGGGCCAAGCGUUGUCCGGAAUCAUUGGGCGUAAAGAGCUCGUAGGCGGCUUGGCAAGUUGGAUGUGAAAUCCCCGUGCUCAACGCGGGGCGGCCAUCCAAUACUGCCAUGGCUAGAGUCCAGUAGGGGAGUGUGGAAUUCCCGGUGUAGCGGUGAAAUGCGCAGAGAUCGGGAGGAACACCAGCGGCGAAGGCGGCACUCUGGGCUGGUACUGACGCUGAGGAGCGAAAGCGUGGGGAGCGAACAGG